UGUUUAAACAGUGUCUUUUGAUAUUUCC
rnacentral:piRNA from 1 species